CCCUUAGAUGUUCUGGGCCGCACACGCGCUACACUGGCAGGUUCAUCGAGCUUCAUGCCCUGAUCUGAGAAGAACGGGAAAUCUUUGAACACCUGCCGUGCUUGGGAUAGAUGUUUGCAAUUAUUCAUCUUCAACGAGGAUUGCCUUGUAAGCGCACGUCAUCAGCGUGCAUUGAAUACGACCCUGUAUUCUGUACACACCGCCCGUCGCUCCUACCGAUUGAAGUUUUCGGUGAAUUUACUGGAGAUCCCUUUUGAAGGUGGUUCGCCACUGGAAGAAGUAUUCAAAAGUAAAUGAAUCGAAUGCUUUAGAGGAAGGAGAAGUCGUAACA
rnacentral:rRNA from 1 species